UACGGAGGAUCCAAGCGUUAUCCGGAUUUACUGGGUUUAAAGGGUGCGUAGGUGGGUUGGGAAGUCAGUGGUGAAAUACUUUCGCUUAACGAAGGAACUGCCAUUGAUACUAUCAAUCUUGAAUGUAGUGGAGGUAGGCGGAAUGCGUCAUGUAGCGGUGAAAUGCUUAGAUAUGACGCAGAACACCAAUUGCGAAGGCAGCUUGCUACACUACUAUUGACACUGAGGCACGAAAGCGUGGGGAUCAAACAGG
rnacentral:rRNA from 1 species